rnacentral:rRNA from 1 species
GACGAACGCUGGCGGCGUGCUUAACACAUGCCAGUCGAACGGAAAGGCCUGCUUUCCCUUGUGGAUUGCGGGUACUCGAGUGGCGAACGGGUGAGUAACACGUGAGUGAUCUGCCCCCAACUUGGGUAUAAGCCUGGGAAACUGGGUCUAAUUCCCGAUAGGACUGCAGGGUGGUGCCUGUGGUGGAAAACGAUUUUCUAGUGGUUGGGGAUGAGCUAGCGGCCUAUCAGCUUGUUGGUGGGGUAAUGGCCUACCAAGGCGGCGACGGGUAGCCGGCCUGAGAGGGUGGACGGCCACAUUGGGACUGAGAUACGGCCCAGACUCCUACGGGAGGCAGCAGUGGGGAAUAUUGCACAAUGGGCGGAAGCCUGAUGCAGCGACGCCGCGUGGGGGAUGACGGCCUUCGGGUUGUAAACUCCUUUCGACCGCGAGGAAGCCACCUGGUUGGAAGGGUGGUGACGGUAGUGGUAGAAGAAGCACCGGCUAACUACGUG